GGCUGUAGUUUUCUCUUUUGCGGUUGGAGCCUCACUGCCACACAAACAUAUGCCCGCUUAGUAAUGCCCGCAUUUGUGUGUGUGUGGGUAUUUCUGCUUGUUUACCUGUUGCUUUUCAAUUGUUUCACAUUUUGCCAGAAAAAUGAUUUUCCACAAAUGCAAGAACAUACGGCACUAUCUCGAGAUUCCACCGAAAUGGUUUUGGCCAAUUAAAAUUACGGCAACAGGUGGGGCAAGUGCGCUCACCCACACACAUGUAACCUGCUUGUACCUGUAUGUGUGCUUGUAAUCUCGACCUGACGUAAAAACAAAGACACAGCAUUGCCGUUGUUUUUGUUAUAAGCCGCAGAAGACGAAGAAGCAGAAGCAGCUUCGAGAAAAAUAUAUUUAUUUUCGUAAUACGUAAUUUCUGGGGCUGUUUGGCCGCUUCAAAUACAAAUUGCAAUAAAACUGGUUCCCCAAGUCGACCAUAUAAUAAUGUACCAGGAUUUGAUUAUUGUUGUCGUUAUUCGUUGUCCAAUUGUUGCUUUCGACGCUGCCGUGGUGUUGUUAUUGUUUGGUGGCAUGCCUUGCAUUUUUCUGGUACACAUUUUCCUUUUCCAUUUUGCCACAUUUUAACUGCAGUCCCUUCCCCUUUGACCACCCCCAUUCCCUUCACCAACCAAAAUAAAACCGGCUUGACAUAAAGGAGUGUGCGUGAUGAGGGUAUAUGUGUGUGGGGCCACUGCAAUUGUAGUUUCAGUUUGGAUGCAGGCACUGUGGAAUGCAAAAGCCGUUUAGCAAAAUAAAUUGGCGUGAAAGCCUAAAAAUCACAAAUAGCUUAUGGUACUUAAUAUUUAAUAGCUGUUCGGUUUCUAGGUAAACGAUAUUGAAGACUGUUAAUGAGGUUGAAACCCUUAAACGGGAAUAAACAGCUUUUUAAAGAUCAAGUGAGUUUCAGUACUAAAAACUUUACUAUUAAGAUCAUUUCAGGCAUUCGCAUUGUGUCCUUGUGGAAUUUUAACUUUGAUGUCCCUUUUAAAUUGUUUGACCCACUGUACUCUCCUUGUCGUUUCGCUGCAUCUGGCCAUACGUACAAUUUUCCCACACCCGCUCUCUGUCACCGCGAUCUCUCUCUCUCUUUAUCUCUUCGCCGGACUUUUAAGCUCCUGUUUCGGUUUUCCUCUCCGCCUAAUAUUGGCCAUUUACAGUUAGAGGCCGCUCGCUGCGCCGCCGACAGCAGAUAUUGCAGCUAUUAUUUUCUCUCCCGCUGUAAUUUUAUUACCAGUUUCCUUUCCGCCGGCCAAAAGGAAAACUCCGAAUGGCUUUUCAUUGAGAGAUUUUCCCGUGGAGCAACAGGGUGACCUAUGCAAGCCCACACACGGCAAAGGGCAACGCUAUUUUUGGGCUUUCCAAACUGCAACCGUGCUAGUUAAAAAGCUUCCGCUCAUUAAAACUACAUUGAAUCUAUUCAUAAGCUUAUAACAAGAAAUGUCUAAUAGUCUUGGUUUCGCACAUGGAAAUCUAAUCAAUCUUACUACGGAGAACUUAGAAGGGCUGAGCGAAACUGGCACCAUCGACAUGGUUCAAUGUGCACUUCUUGAGGGGGCGUUCGAUCUGCCCCUUAUUUGCAAGUAAUAAUGGCCUUUAAAAACUCGCAAUUGCAUUUUGAUCGGGGUCUCUUUCGAAUUGUUAUCGUCGCCAAGGGGCGUUGACUCCGGAUGUUCGUUGGAUGAGGGGAGGGGAGUCCUGAGGGGGCGUGACUGCGAAUGCUUGUUUCGUCGCACAUGACGUUAUCUUGGCGUCGUUUUCAUCAUCGAAGCAAUAGAGUUCAAAGGCCCAAUUAGCCAAAUAAAAUGCAUGAAACCAGAAAA